rnacentral:rRNA from 1 species
CAUGUAGGCGGUCUGUCAAGCCAGGCGUGAAAGCCAGGGGCUCAACCCCUGAACUGCGCUUGGAACUGGCGGACUGGAGUCGCUGAGGGGGAACCGGAAUUCCUGGUGUAGGGGUGAAAUCUGUAGAUAUCAGGAAGAACACCGAUGGCGAAGGCAGGUUUCCAGCAGACGACUGACGCUGAGGUGCGAAGGCGUGGGUAGCGAACG